rnacentral:lncRNA from 1 species
ACAACAGAGGCUGGGAAUGCUGCCCCACCUCCAUCUUCCCUCCCCUGCCUGCCUCCUCCACAGCUGCUGCCCCAGGCUGGAGCCCCAAGGCCUCCUCCUCCUCUUCUGCCUCCUUCUCAUGCUCUGCCUGCCGUGGCCACCUCGCAGCCCCUGGCCUCGUGUGGAGCCCCUGCUUGUCCAUCCUGCUGACUGCAGCUCAAAUUGCCCCUUGCCCGAGAGAAGCCUGCAAAGACCACGGUGCCUUCUCUCCUACUCCCAAGCCCCCAGUUGGCCAUGCCUGCCAGGGAGCAUUUCCAGCCCCGGGACUGAGGACCUUGUCCUGCCUCUAGGAGGUGUCUCUUCCAGGCCUCCACCUCUGUUCUACACCAGGAGCCCACUCCAUGCAUGGACCUGGCUUUGUGGCUCAGAAACGUGUGUGGUAUGAAAAUCCGGUGAAAUCAAGUAAAAUAGGAGGAAGGCAAGGUAAACCCAGCGCGGUGCCCUAGAUGCCCGCAGAGCAAGCUGAACUGUUGCCCUGCCAGGCCUGGAUGAGGGAGGAAACCUGCAGACGGGGGCACUGGAGGGGAGAGGGUUGACCGCGGCCGGUGAGUGCUCUCUGCUCUGAGAGUUUGAUUGAAUGAGAUUUUUGGUUUGGCUUCACUGGUUAUUGUAGUUUUUCCAUUAUUUUAUUGUGCAAAUUCCUAGUAGAGUCAGCAGAAUCGGGAGGCAAACUGAGCAGCUACUGUGAAGUGUGAAAAAUUACCCUCAACUAAUACAAUCACGCUAUUUGCUUAUGGGAUUAUGGCAUGGAAAUGAGGCCUCCAGGCUGGCAAUUUGGCAGCAGACUCCGGUCACCUUUCCGGGCAGCAGCCCUGGCCCAGGAGUUGUGGUUCUCCUGACUUCAGUGGCAGGAUGAGCUUUCCGGCUCCCGUGGGGCCGACGCCGAUCUUUUCUACGGCAUUGACAACACCAUUAAUUGUAUCACGGACAACACACCCCAGGGAGCUAGGCAGGGCACCUCCAGGGAGAAAAUACACUCAUCUCACAUUCACCCAGCAAAUAGUGACCCACCUCUCUCAAACACAAACACAGACCUUAAAUCCAAGCAGCCUGGGAAUAAGAAGUGAAACCUUUUGAGUGCUGUGUCACCCCACAGACUCUGGGAUUCAGGAGGCAGAGACCAAGCCUUGCUGCCUUUGUUUCCACAGCUGCAAUCAGGACGGCAUCCCUGAUCCAGUAAGGGCUUCUGCCCUGACUCCACAAGAUAAUCACCUGAGGGAUUCAAGAAACUCUAACGUCGAGGCCACAUGCCAAACCAGUGAAAUCCAAAUGUCACGUAGGGGCCUGGGUUCCAGCAUUCUUCCAAUGACUUCCAAGUGGCUUCAUGAACAGCCACUGCUGAGAACCACCAUCCUAACUAGAGGUCUGGCAAGGUCAUACCAGAGACACUGAAGACUCACAUCUUCAUUAGAAUUCAUGCCUGAAAGAUGGAAGCAAAGGCCCUGCACACGGAGUGAGUUUAUCUGUUGAACACGGAGGAUACCCAGAGAGUCAAGCAUCUCCUCAGCUCAGGAAGUGUUUAAAAAGUAAGUGGUGAGUUGGCAGAAGGGAUAAUGAAAUUUUAGAUAAAUGUUUGGAUGGAUGGAUGGAUAGAUGGAUGGAUGGAUAGAUGGGUGGAGAAAUGGGUAGAUCAAUGGAUCAUGAAUGGAGGAAUGGGUGGGUGAGUGGAUGGAUGGAGGGAUGGAUGGUGGAUGAAUGGAUGAGUGAAUAGAUAUGUGGUGUGUGGAUGGAUGGAUGGGGGAUGGAUGGAUAAUGGAUGGAUGGUGGAUGAGUGGGUGGAUGGAUAGAUUGGUUGGUGAGUAGGUGGAUGGUUAGAUGGUGGAUAGAUGAUGGAUAGAUGAGUACGUAUGUGGGUGGAUGAAUGGAUGGUGGAUGAAUGGAUGGAUGGGGAUGGAUGGAUGAAUGAUGGAUGGAUGGAUAAUGGAUGGUGGAUAAGUGGAUGGAUGGGUGGAUGGAUUGGUUGGUGAGUAGGUGGGUGGUUAGAUUAUGGAUAGAUGACGGAUAGAUGUGUACAUAUGUGAGUAGAUUAAUGGAUGGUGGAUACAUGGAUAGAUGGGUGGGGAUGGAUGGAUUAAUAAUGGAUGAAUGGGUGGGUGGAUGGAUGGGUGGUAGAUGAGUGGAUGGAUGGAUGGAUGAGUGAAUAGAUAGAUGGUGUGUGGAUGAAUGGAUGGAUGGUGGAUGGGUGGGUGGAUGUUGGAUUAGUGGAUGGAUUGGUUGGUGAAUAGGUGGGUGGUAAGAUGAUGGAUAGAUGAGUACAUAUGUGGGCGGGUGGAUGCCUGGAUGGUGGUUGAAUGGAUAGAUGGGUGGGGAUGGAUGGAUGAAUGGGUGGGUGGAUGGAUGGAUGGUGGAUGAGUGGGUGGAUUUGUUGGUGAAUAGGUGGGUGGUUAGAAGGUGGAUAGAUGAUGGAUAGAUGAGUACAUAUGUGGGUGGAUGCAUGGAUGGUGGAUGAAUGGAUGGAUAGAUGGGGAUGGAUGGAUGAAUAAUGGGGAAUGGAAAACACAUGACAGACAGAUUUUGUGCUGAAGACUGCGUAGAAUUGUGAGACAGCCUCCCUGACCUGUUGGAACUUAGAAAGAAGAUGGUUUACUGAGGCAGAGUGUGACUCAGCCCCAUAAGCUGGAUUGCGGAGGGAUGAGGAGAUACAGUGAUUGACACUUACUAAGCACUUCCUGUAGACAUGGCCGGGAGCAUCCCGCAGGAAUCUCCACAUUCUCCCCCUCAACGGCUCUCACAAAUUAGGUUGCCAGGAGGUGGCAGGGCUGGACCCAAACCCCACUGUCUCUGGCUGCAGGACAAGUGAUCCUCAUCAAACAGACAGCAAGGGCUCUGUGCCAGGCAGGUGCCAGCGACGCAGGGGGCCUGCUUGUGAAACAAACAGGUGGGCAGAUAGAUAGGUGGGCAGGUUGGCAGGUGGGCUGAGCUCCCCAACCCCCGACCAGCUGUUCUUCCAGGGCUUCACGGUGAUCGAGACAGAUCCCUUGAUGUUGGAAGGCCACAGCCUGGUGUGGAGGAGGUCACCCGAAUGGGACCUAGCCUGCUACAGGAUGCACGCCUCUGGACCUCGGUGUCCCCAGCACCUGGGAAGUGGCCACUAGCUGAACAGGUGUCCUGCCCGGGACGCUCUUCCCCAGUGCCCGCCUGCGGGACUCCAGCUCCUUGUUCCGGCUCCUGCUGCACUAGCUCCUGGCGACUGAGGCUUCUCCCGACCCCCUAAACAAACCUGAAAAUGCAGAUUGAAGAAGGAAUAACAUUUUUAUGUGAAGGUGACAUGAGCAGAAUAUCCUACGGAAUCUGAAUGAUCUCAGCAAGACCACAAAGAUUCCCGUCUUCAUGUUGUUGGACCUGUGUGUAAAGCAGGAAGCAGCUCCCUCCCUUGGAUGUACUAAAAUAGUUACUGCUUCACAUGCGUGAUGCUCCUGGCUACCUUCCUGCCCCUGAUACAAGCCAUGCCGAGGUGGGGAGGGGUCCAGCCCACGCAAGCAGGGAGGGAAGCCUGUGGUCUCCCCAUUGGCAGAGGAAAGGGGUGCGGACGCAGGCACCUGUCCCAAGAGGGAAGAAGGCAGAUUCAGGAUGGAAUUAGCAAGACAUGCUCCCCGACUGAUUGUUACUUUCAAGAAAGCAGCCGGCCGCACUGCCAGCUUUGAUAAUUGACUUUAUUCUACCAUUGAUGGAUAAAUUGACUGAUAGAUGUCAGACAGAGGCAUGACCGAGGUGGGACCAGGUUUGUGCAGAAAGAAUGAUCGGCUCUACUGAUUCAGUAAAAUUCAUAGUUUCAAUAAGCCACAAACACACACCCCCCAAGCACUAAACACACAGGCACACACACGCAUGCACACGUACAUGGGUACACACACACACACACACACACACACACACACACACGAUACUUUCAGGAAGAGCUGAGUUCAUGAUUCCAAAGCUGGAGGAGUGUCUCAGAUGUUUCCUUCUGAGACCUUGGAUGACUGGCGUGGGUGCCGGGGCAUGGGGGCAGCUGCUGGCCCAUCAGAGACAGGCCUGCCCAUCAGGAACUUAUAUAGAAACCACAAUGUGGCCAGGCUGGAUGUGCUGUCUUUGCCUUAAUCCCCAGCUUCAUGUGCCCCAGAUUCUACUGUGACCAGGACUGGCCUCUCAUACAGCACUCAACCGAGCCCAGUGUCCCCAGCUGCGUCCAGGGUCGCCAAAGUCCCUGCUCUCCUCUGUGCAGGGAAACACUCAGGCCCCGCAGGUGCCAAUCUCUUCAGGAAUAGUCAGGAAUAGCACAGGCAUCUGCUCUGGAGCCUCAGCCUUGAGUGGUCCAUGGAGAGGAGGCGGUGCUGGCCUGCACACCAUUCCCUCCUGGAAGCCGAUUGCUGGGAGGCUCCACCUCAGCCUGCUAUCCAGAUCCAUGCUCCACCCAGCAGUCCCCAUGUGCCUUAGAACAAGGUCAAGAGAGGUAUUCAUGCCCAGGCCAUGGUGAAAACCCGUCUGCUUGUUCUCUUUAGUAAUUUCAAUUAUUUUAUUUUUUUGUGAAAAUUACACAUGUGCAUUAGGAAAUUUUUUUUUAGUACAGAAAGCAACAUUAUCACCCCAAUCUCAUCCCCCAACAGGAACUUGCCUUCAUACAAGGAAACAACCCCAGACGGCCUCCACCAGCCAGGUGGGAGGUCAGUGGGAGGAACAGCAGGGAGGGUGGGAAGUCCUUC